rnacentral:rRNA from 1 species
GAUGAACGCUAGCUACAGGCUUAACACAUGCAAGUCGAGGGGAAACGAUAUUGGAAGCUUGCUUCCGAUAGGCGUCGACCGGCGCACGGGUGAGUAACGCGUAUCCAACCUGCCCAUCACUUGGGGAUAACCUUGCGAAAGUAAGACUAAUACCCAAUGACGUCUCUAGAAGACAUCUGAAGGAGAUUAAAGAUUUAUCGGUGAUGUAUGGGGAUGCGUCGGAUUAGGUUGUUGGCGGGGUAACGGCCCACCAAGGCGACGAUCAGUAGGGGUUCUGAGAGGAAGGUCCCCCACAUUGGAACUGAGACACGGUCCAAACUCCUACGGGAGGCAGCAGUGAGGAAUAUUGGUCAAUGGACGAGAGUCUGAACCAGCCAAGUAGCGUGCAGGAUGACGGCCCUAUGGGUUGUAAACUGCUUUUAUAAGGGAAUAAAGUGAGUCUCGUGAGACUUUUUGCAUGUACCUUAUGAAUAAGGACCGGCUAAUUCCGUGCCAGCAGCCGCCGUAA